CUGAGUUAUCUAAACUCCAACCCUAUGUGAACUUACCGCCGUUGCCUCGGCGGGCCGCACCUACCCGGUAGCUACCCUGUAGCUACCCGGUAAGCGCGUUACAGGCCCGCCGGUGGACUGCUAAACUCUGUUAUUUACAAGUAUCUCUGAAUGCUUCAACUUAAUAAGUUA
rnacentral:misc_RNA from 1 species